CUUCGGAUCUAGUGGCGGACGGGUUAGUAACGCGUGGGAACGUACCCUUCACUACGGAAUAGUCCCGGGAAACUGGGUUUAAUACCGUAUACGCCCUUCGGGGGAAAGAAUUUCGGUGAGGGAUCGGCCCGCGUUAGAUUAGUUAGUUGGUGGGGUAAUGGCCUACCAAGACUACGAUCUAUAGCUGGUUUGAGAGGAUGAUCAGCAACACUGGGACUGAGACACGGCCCAGACUCCUACGGGAGGCAGCAGUGGGGAAUCUUAGACAAUGGGGGCAACCCUGAUCUAGCGAUGCCGCGUGAGUGAUGAAGGCCUUAGGGUCGUAAAGCUCUUUCGCCUGUGAUGAUAAUGACAGUAGCAGGUAAAGAAACCCCGGCUAACUCCGUGCCAGCAGCCGCGGUAAUACGGAGGGGGUUAGCGUUGUUCGGAAUUACUGGGCGUAAAGCGCACGUAGGCGGAUUAGUCAGUCAGAGGUGAAAUCCCAGGGCUCAACCCUGGAACUGCCUUUGAUACUGCUAGUCUUGAGUUCGAGAGAGGUAAGUGGAAUUCCGAGUGUAGAGGUGAAAUUCGUAGAUAUUCGGAGGAACACCAGUGGCGAAGGCGGCUUACUGGCUCGAUACUGACGCUGAGGUGCGAAAGUGUGGGGGAGCAAACAGGAUUAGAUACCCUUGGUAGUCCACACCCGUAAACGAUGAAAUGCCAGUCGUCCGGGUAGCAUGCUAUUCGGUGACAC
rnacentral:rRNA from 1 species